CAAAGAGAAACGCGCGCUCUCUCCUCCUUUUCAUUUCUCUCCCACAACUUCUCUGCCUUUCCUCUUUCAGAAACAAAUGCCUAGCCUCCAUCCUUCAUUUCUCGAACUCUCGCAACUUCUCUCUCUCCAUCGCUUUGUCGCAAUCCACGGCCUCCUCUCUAUGUCGCUUGCUGCCCACCACCGAAAAUUCAAGAACCCAAGAGAUCCAUUCCAACAAAACACAAAUCCACACCUAAUCCUCAUUUCCCAGACCCAGACUCACGAGACCAGUUCAUGAUGUCCAGAUCAGGCAUCGCCGACUCCGGCUUCUAAGGAUUUCUAUCAAAUUUCGAUCCGUUCGAGUUGUCGUAGACAGCCCGACUUCACUCUUCCCUCCGUCAUCUUUCACUAUCGAUCCACCGCUGCAUUAAUUUGUCGGCCGUUUUGCAGGUGCGAUUUAGAAUCAGAAGCAUGCACAGAAUCUCCAUCGCCAUGGUCAGAUCCGCCCCUCCAUUUUCACUGCUCUUCAUAAAUUGGGCUCAGCCGGGCAAGUCAGGAUCCCAAACCUCCUGGUCUUGCUGCAGACACACUCACAGAAGCCUCCAGAUCGAAGACGACACCAAGUUCUCAAAUCCAAGAUGAAAAGGUUGUCUAUGGCUAAGUGGAAUUCUGGGCUAGAUAGCUUACAACUGGUAUCAGCACAGCAUGGAGACCAGUUUGUUUGAUAUUCUGGAAUGUUUCAUGAUGAUCCUCAUUGUUUCCUGAUUUAGUGAUGCUGCAUAUCAACGUGAUGAGGAUUAUAGUGAGAAUGGUCAUACUCAAGGAUGUUUUAUCUAUAUUAUAGUAAUGUUGAAAUGAAAACAUAGAUAUUUUUGUAUUUUGUUACUGAACCGAAUUGUGAACCUUACAAUAGCUUAUAUUACAAGAAUUUUGUGUUGUUCCUA